rfam:Oryza brachyantha chromosome 6, whole genome shotgun sequence.
UUUAUAUGACGCCGUUGACUUUUAGUUCCACGUUUGACCAUUCGUCUUAUUUAAAAAAAUUAUAUAAUUAUUAAUUAUUUUGUUAUAAUAUGAUUUAUUAUUAUAGGAACUUUAAGUAUGCAUUACAAUUUUACAUAUUUGUAUAUAAAUUUUGAAUAAGACGAAUGGUCAAACGUAAUCCUAAAAGUCAAUGGUGUCAUACAUA